AUCCGGAUGAGAUAUUCAGGGCGUUCUUUGCCCAGGGAAAUGUGUUUCAGACGAGUCGUGCUUAUACUUAUAGAAUAGGAAGUGUGGGAGGCCAUCUGAGGGCAGAAUCUGAUGGGCGAGGUCCCAACUUGUUGAUUUUCUAAGAUCCCCGGACGCUGGCCCCGAAGAGGGUAGACUGUGCAUCAGUUGGAGAGGGGAACAACGCAUUCUUUAUAACGUGUGAAAACCUCUCCCUAACAGACGCGUUUUAAAAACUUUUGACAGUGAGCCCAAAUGGAAAAGUCUAAAGUGUGAGAUCUUCGAUUGGAGAGGGGAAUGAAAUACUCUUUAUAAGGAUGAAGGACGUAGAAAUUCAAUGUCCCCGUGGAACAAAAAUCUUCCAAACUCCUCAUUGUGAGAAGAUGAAUAAUCUUGGGUCAGCAUAAAGGAGAAAAUGAAGAGUAAUGGAAGAGGUGGUUCAUAGACGUGUCUGUAUUUCAAGUAUGAGAGUGUCAUUCCCACAAGCAUGGCCCUCAGAAUUAUUUUUGGCACGGUUUCCAAUAACAGAUAUGUAUAAUUCAAAGUUAUCAUUACGUCAUAGUUCAAUUGACUCUAUAUGUGCUUCACUAACGACUUAAAUAUUCCAAUUCUCUUAUUUUAUGGGUCAUUAACCUCGAUCUAAAUUUUUUAUCGAGGUCAAUUACUGUAAUUCUCUUAUUUCACGAGUUCGUUGAACUCAAAAGAUAUAUACUCGAUCAAGAGAUCAAAUAUUCUAAUUCUUUUA